rnacentral:tRNA from 1 species
GCCCUUAUAGAUCGGAAAAGCACCUGAUUUGUAAUCAGUAGGUCCGCGGUUCGAGUCCGUGUGGGGGCACCA